rnacentral:tRNA from 1 species
GCGGGCGUGAUGGAAUGGUAGACAUACCAGACUUAAAAUCUGGAGGCCGAAUGGCCGUGCGGGUUCAAGUCCCGCCGCCCGCACCA